GAUGAACGCUGGCGGCGUGCCUAAUACAUGCAAGUCGAGCGAACGGACGAGAAGCUUGCUUCUCUGAUGUUAGCGGCGGACGGGUGAGUAACACGUGGAUAACCUACCUAUAAGACUGGGAUAACUACGGGAAACCGGAGCUAAUACCGGAUGAUAUUUUGAACCGCAUGGUUCAAAAGUGAAAGACGGUCUUGCUGUCACUUAUAGAUGGAUCCGCGCUGCAUUAGCUAGUUGGUAAGGUAACGGCUUACCAAGGCAACGAUGCAUAGCCGACCUGAGAGGGUGAUCAGCCACACUGGAACUGAGACACGGUCCAGACUCCUACGGGAGGCAGCAGUAGGGAAUCUUCCGCAAUGGGCGAAAGCCUGACGGAGCAACGCCGCGUGAGUGAUGAAGGUCUUCGGAUCGUAAAACUCUGUUAUUAGGGAAGAACAUAUGUGUAAGUAACUGUGCACAUCUUGACGGUACCUAAUCAGAAAGCCACGGCUAACUACGUG
rnacentral:rRNA from 1 species